GAAUAGAUACCCGGGUAGUCCACGCCGUAAACGAUGAGUGCUAAGUGUUAGAGGGUUUCCGCCCUUUAGUGCUGAAGUUAACGCAUUAAGCACUCCGCCUGGGGAGUACGGCCGCAAGGCUGAAACUCAAAGGAAUUGACGGGGGCCCGCACAAGCGGUGGAGCAUGUGGUUUAAUUCGAAGCAACGCGAAGAACCUUACCAGGUCUUGACAUCCUCUGACAACCCUAGAGAUAGGGCUUCUCCUUCGGGAGUCAGAGUGACAGGUGGUGCAUGGUUGUCGUCAGCUCGUGUCGUGAGAUGUUGGGUUAAGUCCCGCAACGAGCGCAACCCUUGAUCUUAGUUGCCAUCAUUCAGUUGGGCACUCUAAGGUGACUGCCGGUGACAAACCGGAGGAAGGUGGGGAUGACGUCAAAUCAUCAUGCCCCUUAUGACCUGGGCUACACACGUGCUACAAUGGACGGUACAAAGAGCUGCAAGACCGCGAGGUGGAGCUAAUCUCAUAAAACCCGUUCUCAGUUCGGA
rnacentral:rRNA from 1 species